rnacentral:misc_RNA from 1 species
GACGAAGGGUGCAAGCGUUAUUCGGAAUUACUGGGCGUAAAGGGCGUGUAGGCGGGUUUGUAAGUCAGUUGUUAAAGACCGCUCCAUAAUGGCGGAGGUGCAAUUGAAACUACAAAUCUUGAGUGCAGGAGAGAAGAGUGGAAUUCUCGGAGUAGCGGUAAAAUGCGUAGAUCUCGAGAGGAACACCGAUGGCGAAGGCAGCUCUUUGGCCUGCAACUGACGCUGAGGCGCGAAAGCGUGGGGAGCAAACAGG